CUUGCGCAAGUUCAGGGGCUGGAGGGAGGCGGGGGAGCCGCGGUCCAACUGCUGAAGUCUCCAUGUGACAGUGAGUGGGGUUCCCUCUCCAGGCGCCACACAACUCUCGGUCCCAGCCACAAGCGCUGUCCACUGUUCGUCGCCGACGGAGACAAACAGGCCGGGGAUACUUGGUGUUUGGCCGACGACCGCCGAACUUGGGGUGCAGAGUGCAUUGCCGCCGCCGGGUAGGGCGCCUGAGGGACCUGGCCGGGAGAGGCGGAGCGGGGAUUUCUGUCAGCGCCAGCGCCCCUGAGCACCUAGACAUGAACGGCUUCACGCCUGAGGAGAUGAGCCGCGGCGGGGACGCGGCUGCCGCCGUGGCUGCGGUGGUUGCGGCUGCAGCGGCCGCCGCCUCCGCCGGGAACGGGAACGCUGCAGGCGCCGGGGCUGAGGUACCCGGCGCCGGGGCGGUCUCAGCGGCUGGGCCCCCGGGGGCGGCCGGGCCGGGCCCCGGGCAGCUAUGCUGUUUACGGGAGGACGGUGAGCGGUGCGGCCGAGCGGCUGGCAACGCCAGCUUCAGCAAGAGGAUUCAGAAGAGCAUCUCCCAGAAGAAGGUGAAGAUCGAGCUGGAUAAGAGUGCAAGGCAUCUUUACAUUUGUGAUUAUCAUAAAAACUUAAUUCAAAGUGUCCGAAACAGAAGAAAGAGAAAAGGGAGUGAUGAUGAUGGAGGUGAUUCACCUGUUCAAGACAUUGAUACUCCAGAGGUUGACUUAUACCAAUUACAAGUAAAUACACUUAGGCGAUACAAAAGACACUUCAAGCUACCAACCAGACCAGGACUUAAUAAAGCUCAACUUGUUGAGGUGAAUAAAGUACAAAGGGAUGAAUGGAAGGAUAUGUCACAGAACUAACAAGGACCAAAAAAAGGCUUACAUCCUUCUGGAAUCACUGAAACUGGAGGUGCAGGGGGGAAGCAGCUGCUGGGUUCAGCCUUCACAGAUCAGAUCCUCCCAGGAGAGAGGAAUCCGUCACUCCUCUGAAUUAUGUGCUGCUCAGGACUGAUGCUUGUACCACCCACUCAGUGAGGGCAACCUCAGCUUCUUGAACUCACAGAACCUAUUGUUCUCUUCCUUUCUUACCCAACGCUGUCACUGCAGUCCUGUACCUCCAGCCAGGAGGGCAAGGAAAUGACUCCCCAGAGAGCCAUUGAUCAUGGAAACCUGAGCAUCUGCUCAUAUGUUAGGGUGUGAGAUACCUUGAUGCCUGGCUGAACCACCAACUUCAGAGUCUGUAGAUACCAACUGCUUGUAGGUUUGGAUUUUCAUUAACUCUCUGCAUCAGUUUUCCUCCUGGUCUCCCAGGAGUAUUGACUUUAACUGCUUCACUCAUUUAAGCAUCUCCCAAGACUGUAAGAGAUUAGUUAACAGUCCAAGCCUGCUUCUGGCUUUCCCCUGCUCCCCCACCCGCACUCACAUUAACCGGAAACAUUCAUUGCUCAGUUUUUAAUGAGGUUGGGAUUCCUCUCUUCAGAGUCCAGGAAGACAUAAAAGGCAGCCCGACUUUAUGUUAACAUCAACUUAUUCUGCAUUCUAUGAUAUGCUUUCUGAUGAGUUUUACUUUAGAAAAGAAGCAAACAUUACCCCAGCUUCUCAAAGCAUGAAAUGGUGUUAUUGAGCAAUCUUGGAAUGAUUCGCUACAUUAGGCACCAACACACACACACACACACACACACACACACACACACACACACACACACACGUAGGUCAGGACAAAACAGUUUGGGUAUCCUUUCCUUAUUUUAAAACCUCACUUACUCAAUAACAUAUUUCAUAAAGCACACUGUACUUAUUUUCCCUGGCAGCAUUUAAUGCAAUAACUUAUGUACAAAGGAAGGCCCCAACAUUUAGCCACAGAUGUCAUCAAAUGAGGGAAGGUUUGUAAUAAUUCCCUAUAAUUUAACAUUUAGAAUUUAAGAGAUGCCUUGUUAAGAAAAACAAAAGGACUUAUUAACUCAUUUACCCUUCUUAGUAAUUCUAUUUUUGAGUUGACGGAGCAAACACCCAAUUAGAGUGAUAAUUUAUUAGGGUCAUAUAUUAGCUGAAAAGAAAAAAGGGAAAAGAAAACCUUCAGCAGAAACUAGAAAUUACCAAAGGCUGACCUUGCUUGAGUCAGUCAGUAUAUGAUACCUCUCAAGCAAGCUGAUGACAAUCUGCCCCUUUACACAGUAAAGAUAACUUAAACAUAAGUCUCUGCCUCAUUGUAUUAAUCUUAACUGCAGGGAAAUACAAUGAAGAAACCCAGAUUUUAAAACAAACUGCAUCAGAAAAUAACCAUUCCAAACAUCAUGCUGAAUUUAACUUGCUUUCGGUUGAACCAUAAGGCCAGCUAUACUACAUCAUUCCAAGAAACACCAAAUGUGUGGAAUUUUGCUAUGGAUGCUAUCAGGAAGAUCAACUGAUUUGACCAAAACUGUGGUUGUAUAGAAGUAGCUAUUCUCAAUGCAAAGAGAGGUAACCCAAUGUUGACAACUAAGCUUUUUGUAAGGGAAUCUGCAGUUUACAACUAAGUGUCACAUUAAAAUUGCUGUCAUUUUUUUUUCUACUUGUUUAAAUUCUAAACUUUGGAGAUAAAGAAAUUUUAAAUUAAUUAGUGACUUAUAUGUUAAUCACAAGCUUAACAAAAUAUUCAGAGGGAAUGUUAGAAAAAGACAGUCUAAAUGUUUAAUUUAUGGGAUUCUAAGUAUAUACAGACCCUGUUUUGUUUUGCUUUUUGAUGGUGUUGGGGAAUGAACCCAUGGCCUUGUGCAUGAGAGGCAAGCGCUCUACCAACUGAGCUAUAUCCCCAGCCUCAGACCCUGUUUUUAUCAGAGUUCAUUCAUACUUUUAAUUGUUUUCUUUCAUUUCAAAUAUUGUUGUUGGGAUUGAAUAGAUUUACCUAAUUCUUGCAAGAUUUGCCCCAGAUAUUUUGCUUUGUUUUAUUUAAGUCUUCUUAAAACUUUUGAGAUGCUGUAAUGUGCUAUAAAAUAGUUGUAUUCAGUAAUUCAGUAAGACAGGGACUGCUGGCUGUUCACUGAACCAGACUCCUCUUCUUCCUGGGUGCACAUGGUUUACAAGGCACUAAUGCAAUUAGAAGUGGUCACAAGACUAAGUCUCAGUCAAUGGAAAUUGUACAGAAGUGACAGAGACACUUCUGUCCCCUAAGAGCCUCCCAAGAGUGGUUCUCCAUGUUCUUUCAUUCCCCUUUUCCAGAUUAAUGGAAAUAAGUUCAGGGUCUUUGGAAUCCAUGUGUUGCAAAUAACAGAACUACAAGAUGGGAAGAACUUAGACCCCCAAAAUUAAAUCCAUGUGAAAGAUGUUCCUGCCAGGUCCUUUGACACUUGAGGAAAUGACAUGAUUAAUUAUUCUUGUUUCUUCAUUUUUAACAAGGACAAAUGACACUGUCUUCACAGAAAUUAUAAUCCUCUUACAUUCUUUAUGGACACUUCUUUUGUGGCUCUUAAUCCAAAUAAUCAACUUAUAAACAUUGAUGAAGUUCACAGAAGUACUCUAAGAUUUUAGUUGCAUUUCUGAAAAAAUAUUAUAAUAUUUCUGGCAAAAUUAGGAGAUUCUGGUUUUAUGGUAUGUUUAAACAAACUUCUCAGUUUCUCUUUUUAUUGCCUAGCAAAUAAUCAAUCCCAUAAUUUGGGGGCUUGGAGCUCUUUUCUUAACAAAACAUGGGUUAAGACAGUGUUUUUGAGCAUGUUUAUCAUGAAGAACUCCAUUUCUAACAUUUGCCCUCCAUAGACAAUAUCAAGAUUGAGAUAUUUUUUAAAUACUACUCUUACUAAUUUGUAGUAAAUUCACUUUUCCAUAUUUCCAUAUUUGUUACUUCUACUCCUCAGGCUAGAAUAAGUAGCACUCAGGGGAGGAGCUAUUUCUAGAGGAACGGCCUGGCUUUGACAUGGAUUAGUGAGUCUGAAAUUUUGGCAUACACGGCAAAUCUGAAUUUUGUCAGCAUUUAGAAUUACCAGUCAUGUCCCAAUCAGUUUACAUUAAUAAGAUUUAUUUUACCAGAUUUUGUUUUAGGUGGUGAGGAUACUAGAACAAGUGAAACAUACUUCCUAUCCCAGAAAUCAUAAUCUGGGUGGGGAGAUAUGUACAUGAAAAGAACAUCCAAUAUGGUGUGGCAGUGUUGUCUGUAGGUGGAUGUAGAAGAAAAGGGCUUUAUGUUUGUUGCCUAGGACUGCUAUUACAAAUGGUCACAAACUGAGGAGCUUAAAACAACAGAAAUUUAUUCUUUCACAGUUCUGGACCCUAGAAAUUAAAAUCAAUGUGUUGGCAGUGUAGUGUUCCCUCUAAAGUGUAGGAGAAGCAUCCUUCCUUAGGCCAGCAUCUUCUGGCCUCUAGUAGCUGCUAAUAAUUCCUGGCAUUGCCUGGCUAUAGACUCAUCACUCCAAUCUCUGCCUCUCCACAAGGCCUUUUCUUCUGUGUGGGUAUUCAAUUUUUCUUCUCCUUAUAGGACACCAGUCGCUGAAUUUAGUGCCCAUCCUAACUCAGUAUGACCUCAUUUUAACUUGAUUAGGUCUGGAAGAGCUCAUUUCCAGAUAAGGUCAACUUCACAGGAUCCAGGUGGAGAAGAAUUCUGGAUACUAUUCAACUCUACCCAGAUUAGGGCAAGUCAGAAAGAUCACCAAAGGAUGUUUCCCAGAGAAGAUGACAGCUGAGCUGCAUCUUGAAAGGUGAAUGGGAGCAAAAGAGAAAUAAGAUGAUUCAUCACCGCAACAUGUGUGAUAAGUGCAAAGCAGGGUUAGAAAUGCCUUCUAGGGGCUGGGGAUAUGGCUCAAUUAGUAGAGUGCUUGCCUUGUAUACAUAAGACCCUGUGUUCAAUCACCACCACAAAAUAAAUAAAUAAAUAAAUAAAAUAAAAAAACCUUGUACCCUCUACACAGAGAUUCUUAUUGUAUUACCUUAGAAUGAAGUUCAGCCUCAAACAUUUACUUUGUCUUUUUCCUAUAACAAGGUCUCUUUCAAUGUUCUGAUCCAGGCAAUUCUACUUUAUUCUCAGCUGUGAAAUAUUUAGAGCCCAUGCGCUAAAUAUAUAUCACAUUAACACUUCCUGGUGCAAGAAUCUCUGUAAUCUCAGCCUCUCUGGCCUGGUUCCAAUAGUGAACAUAGAACACCUGUAGGCCUCUCAUUUUUUUUCUGAUUUGGGGUGUAGGGCUGUUCUCGCUCAUAAAAGAUCAUGCAUUCAGCUCAGAGCUGACUUCAUUCAGUCAGUCAGUGGAGUCCUUCAUUCAUUCCACAAACUUUUGUUAUUAAUUAUGUGUAAACCACUGUGCUAGGUGUGAGGAGAUUAAGAAAGUAAAUACAAUAUUAGUCCUGUCCUCGAAAAGUCUACAGUCUAACGGGAGAAAGAAAACAAGUAAUAUACACUACAGACCAUAAAAUCCAUGGUAAAAGAGAUCAUGUUGACCUUGUUUAUGGCCCUAUCUGCCCCCCCCACCCCCAGUUCAAUUUCUGGCACACAAUAAUUAAGAAAUAGUUACCAAGUUGAGUAAAAAGGUUGAAACAUUAUUGGGCAGAAGGAAUUACUUCUGAUCCUCCUGAGAGCUCUUGCCUGCCAGGAUCUUUAACAUGCAUUUAAUUCCUCAAGCCUUUGAUUCAUAGUUAGCUUUGAAAUUCAGCAUUUCGCCUUGUUGGGUUCACUACCAUCUGGCCUUAUUUCUGCUGUGAUUCUCAUCUAUAUUUUAGGCUUAGAGUGAUGAUGUGCAACUUCCUAGGAGCAAUCGUGGCUCAGAUGUGCCUCUCAGAGGUUCUGCAUGAUGGUCUGACAGUCAUAAUAGUAUACAUUUGAAGUUUCACAUUAAGAAAGUACCUAAAAUGGUAAUUUUGAGGAUAACAAGACGUUGUCACAGGUUCCUUUAGAGUUAAUGCAAGGAUUCUCCAAAUCUUUUUAAAUGUAAGUCCUCUUGUCUGGAGAGAGCACAAAGCAAAGACUCCAUUAAUAGAAUUAAUUGAGGCAUAAUGGUGUUUGGGGCCUGGAUUGCUGAGACUGAUCAUUCAGCUAAAGAGAAAGGGAGAAUUAUCAGCUAGUUUAGGAUAAUUCAGGUUUUCCAAAUCACCUAAAACUUGAUCUCCUACUAGAUUUGACCCAUUCAUCCUGAUUUCCUGGGAAUUUUUUUUUUUUUUCAUUUUAACAUGUAAAUUCUGCAUCCCAGAAACAAAACAGAAUGCUUGGUCACCCUUCUUACAGUGACCCAAUUAUAACAAUGUGAUUUCUCCUCAUUUUAGUUUGACCCAUCUUCUCUAGUCAAGCCUACAUGCCCAGGCUGACCAAGGCAGGAUGGAGGCAUCCAUUGCCUCUACUAUCUGACUGCUGAAGAUGAACAAGCCAAAAAAAAAAAAAAGGAAUUUACUACACAGAGAUGAUCCCCUCAAACUAUAACAU